GUUGUUUUAAAGACUAACACUGGCCUGGUUCGUUUACCAGCCUAACACAUGCAGUCGAACGCGAAGUCCCGCAANGGAUCAGAAGUGGAACGGGUGAGUAACACGUGGGUGACUGCCCGUGUGGGGGAUAACGUCCCGAAGGGUCGUAUACGUACAUCCUGCCUUUUAAUGAUGUGUGGAUGAUCAAAUGCCUGUGAUCUGCAAUGACCUUGUGCUGCUUGAAGAGUGGUGCCCUGCUGUCCGAUUAGCUAGUUUGGUUGGUGUGUAAUUGGCUCACCAAUUGCUUCUGAUUCUGUGUAUCCUGGCCUNGAGAGUGGCUGUGACUGUGACACACUUGGUGACUUGAGACACUGUGCCCAGGACUACCUACGUGGAGUGCAUGCA
rnacentral:rRNA from 1 species